UUGAGAUCCAUCCACGGCCGACGCUUUCCCUAGUUCCUCCGGCCGCCGGCGACGGCGAGGCGGCGGCGUCCCAACUGCCUCUUUCCUCGCCGGAGGUCUCCCGUGGCUCCGUUCCAGCCAUCACUUGCCCGGUGAUUUAUCGAGCUACCCAGAAGGUUUACUGCGCUGAUCUGUGCAGGGCGAGAAACACAACAGUUAACAGUUAAUGAUUGGUAAUCAAUUUUUAGCUGCAUCUAAAGCAUCGGCAACAAGGCUGAAUUUUGAGAAAUUUACGUACCAACAUUUGGGUAGACAAACUCAGCACAUAUAUGUAAUAGGAGUAAUUCCCGUGUACCAGAGAUAAUUUCCACAACACUGGACAGGAUUGUACACAACCUAUGCUUAUCGAGUUACUGUGUGAAGCAUGAACAAAAUUACUUAUCUGCAUCACAAUUCACAAACACUUGACCACACUCAUGCUCAUCAAACAAUCAAUUUGGAAUCCCCUAUCCAGUACACGAAAUGAAGCAACAAACUCAAUCCCUUUAUGCUGGAGUUAACACUUAUUUGGCAAUUCACGAAGGAGUAAUCGUAUCCAUUCCAGUAAAUCCAGCGUCAGCAAUUUCAGGCUUUGCUUUUGCCUGUAUGUCAUAUUUAGAUCUUUUCCUCUGUUCUUGUUCAAAUAUAUCUCUUCUACAUUUUGAUUUCUAUAUUAAUUAUAGGAUUCUUUCAAUGGAAGUACUGUAUAAUAAAUUUUACCAUUACCUGCAGAAUUUUCCAGACAGAAUGCUAUUGUGCGGAACUGUGGAUCUAUUUGACCCAGGGGCGGAUCUACAAUUAUAGGACCGGUGUCAGGCGACACCGACGACUUUUAGCAAAACCUAUAGCGAAACUGAUUAUUCAUAUGCUAUAACACCAUAAUCUAAGUAUAAUUAGCAUACUAUGACACCGAUAGAUGCGUUUUGACACCAACGAAUCGAAUUUCUGGAUCCGCCACUGAUUUGACCCGAUGUUUAUCCAGAAGCAAGCAACCAAGCAAACCAACUAAACAAGCAACAGGUAUUUAGUUAUCUGCACUUACUUGCAUAUUGGUCCUAUCAAUGUGCAUAAGAUAACUUCUAUUUAAGUACUGCGAAUCAUUAUUUAGAAUUUUCAAGGAACAUGCUUAUUCAUUUAGUUCGAAAUGUUCCUCUAUUA